rnacentral:rRNA from 1 species
UACGGGGGGGGCAAGCGUUGUUCGGAAUUACUGGGCGUAAAGGGCUCGUAGGCGGCCAACUAAGUCGGACGUGAAAUCCCCAGGCUCAACCUGGGAACUGCGUCCGAUACUGGAUGGCUUGAAUUCGGGAGAGGGAUGCAGAAUUCCCGGUGUAGUGGUGGAAUGCGUAGAGAUCGGGAGGAAUACCAGUGGCGAAAGCGGCACCCUGGCGUCGUACUGACGCACAUGUGCGAAAGCGUGGGGAGCGAACGGG